UAGAUCGAGUGCAACCACGCCGCCCGCGGACAUCAUCGACCAUUGCAGACCAACCCAUUGACACUUAGACACUCCCAGACCGCUCAUCGACACUUGCAGACCAACCUAUCUGCAAUCGUGCUGAAUUGUCAUUGGUUUUACUUCUCUGUAGAACUGUUUGCCCAAGACUGAAGCAGAAAGCCCGCUCUCGAAUACAGGAAACAAAAUGGGCUACAGGUCGUUGAAGUUAACCCGGGCUACGUAUUUGGGCCGGUUCUGCAGCCUACAUUGAACACCGGCAGCUAGCUCCUCAUAAAUUUUGUGAAGGGCAUGUAUAUCCUGAACGAGACUGAUAAUUAUGCAAGAGCCAACCAUAUCAUGAGCAGCGAUCUAUUUCGUUGAACAAUUUUUACUGCAGCUUAUGAUCCGAAAGACUUACAAUUUUGUAGGUGCUUUUUUGGGGGAAAAAAAAAGUUUUACGUAUGGACAUUUUAUGAGGGAAAAUCUAAAUUAUAGGUGAAGGGGAUUCUUUUCCCAAAAAGUUCUGGAAUAUAGUGGACGUACGAGAUGCUGCUGCUGCUGUACUAUUGGCGUACGAGAAACCUGAGGCAGAAGGCAGAUACAUUUGCGUGUCAGAGAACAUCACGACCGAAGAUUUGGUGAAGAAGCUGAGUCGUUUGUAGACAAGUUUCUUGGAGAAUUCCUUGAGAGUGAAUACACCACUGGCUGAGCUCCGAGAAGCUGGGCUGGACUUCAAGCCACUCGAAAGAAACUCUCAUGGACUCCAUCGAGAGCUACCGAGAGAUGUGCUGUAUAAUGCAAAGCCAAUACACAGACAGAGUUGGCAAUUGUGACGGGUGCCAGGAAGCUCUGUGGCAUCGUGGAUCAUCAAGCUUCUCCUCUCUAAGGGCUACAUCCUCUAUGGAACUAUUCGAGAACCUGGCAAGUAACAUUAACUUUCUUCUUCAUCAUCUGGUUCUCUUCCUUCCGUGCUGCAGAUGUGCUUUUUGAAAUGUUUGAUCCGUCGGGCAUGCAGGGAACGAGAAGUAUAAUUAGUAGUGUCGUCGACCGAAAUGGAUAGUCUUUAGGUGAUUCUUCGUCAUUAAUGAUUCUAGAAAUCAAUAUCCAAACUCCAAUUACAGUCUCUUAGCAGUCCUGCAGUUGUCUGAUGUAUACGAAUGAGUCGGAUAAAAUUGACAGUAAGUCCAUUAAGAAAGACCGGAAAAGGCCGAAUAGAUCUCUUGCAAUGACAUUAGCCUUUACGAGCAAGUACACCCAAUAAAAAUGGUUUGUUGCACAACGCUUCAGGAGCUAGAACAAUCACCAUAUCGUUUUUGUUUACGAUAUAUAUAUUUGAUAGAGAUGAAGGUAGAACUUUCGCGUACCAGGUUGAAGAGCAGUGGCUAGCUAGUCAAGGCUCAAGCGCGUGCAUAUAGAGACUUCCAUGUUCAAGGCCACAGUUCGUCCAAAGAUUGGCAUGCAACGCACGUGUAAAUUCACUAGUAUUAUUAAAUAUAACAGAAUUUGGAUAAAUUGAACGGAAAAUGUUAACUCCUUUUUUUUUCCGGUGGAUAAAAUGCUAAUUCUUUGUACUUUGUACCCUCGAUAUUAAGGAGAAAAAGAUAGGAAUGGGGUGGUUAUUUGGUUAAAUUACGAUGAUAUUUUUGAUAUGAUGAUAUACUUGAAUAAUGAAAUAUAGUUCCUAAAGUACACAUAGAAGUUGGAAAGUUAGAUCCAGAUUUUCAUUUUCACUUUAGUAAUAGUAUAGAUAAUAAAUUAGUCGUAUAAAAAUAUGUUAAUUACUCGUCAAAAUGUGCGGAAUAUGAUUCUUUCUUUUUUCUAAUUUUUGGCAUUAGAAUCUGCCUCCUCAGUCCCAGGUCAUCAUACCUGGAAAGAAGAAAUAAAGAAGCGGCACUGUGACUUGUGUAUAUUAAAGAUCAUGCUUUAGAAAGAUUAUUAUAUUAUAUUUCAGAAGGAUUAUAUUAUAUGACUUAUAUUUUGGAAUCUGCAUCCACAGUCCCAUGUGAUUUAUGUUUUAGAAUGUUUUAUAUUUUAAUUUGGAGGGAUCU